AAUUGCAUCCUAUCAAUAAAAAUUCACAAUUACAUAUUAGAUUUAUUUUAAACAAUAUUAACCAUAAUCCAAAAAAUCUUUAACAAAUCUUAUUAUCAAAUCUUAGAAAUUGUCAAAUGAUAGUAAGAGUAUAAGCAAAUUUUAAGAUAAUAAAUUAUAAUGCAAAAAAUCCUAAAUAUAUUCUAAUUUCUAACCAACCCAAAGCAUAUCUUAAAUCUUAACAAACUCUAAUCAUAUCCUAAAUCUUGAUUUUACAAAAAUCCACAAAAUGCUUUAAUAAAUUUUUUCAUGGUAAUUGUAAGACAUCUUCACUACUUCCAACCCUUCAUUUUGAUCAAUUAAAACAUAUUCUAAACAUACUUAACAAACUUUGACCCUAUAAAUCCUAACAAAUCCUAUUUCUUAUUGAUUGUAUUAAAAAAAAUUAAAUAAGAAAAUAUAGCCACAAUCACAAACUAAAUCACUUUUCUAACUUAUACAUAAUAAAAUUAAAUAUUCACUACUUUUCUUUUGCUUUUGAUAGAUUCAACCACUUAUCUAACUUUCUACCUUGGGCCCCUUGUUUAUCCCAAUAAUCACUCCAAUCUUUUCAAUUCUCCUUAAUAUGCAAUCUUUAGCUUGUUAGAGCCAAAACAUUUAAGCACCUUUUGUAACACAAAUAUUUGCAAAACAAUCCAAGUAUUGAUCUCUAAUAAUUAUUCCUCCAAAAUCAGAACUGCUCCUCUACAGAAAGUUGAUCCAAAUUGCCCAAACAGACCAAGUAUUACUUCAAAUGUUACCAAAAAAUUAUCUUUGAUCCAAAUUCAAUGUCCCUAAAAUUUUCAGGGACAUUGCUCCAAAAUUUGUUAAUCCAAGAGAAUACUUGAAGAAAAUCCAAGGCCCUCCAACCAUGAGCAGACCCACAACAGGUGACGUACUCUAAUUGUAUUGGGCCCAAGCACAGAAUCCUGUUAAGGCCUUGGAGAAUAACUAGCAGCGUCCACAUCCAAGACUUAGAAGGCAGUAAGCUCACGCAACAUUUCACAAUAUUCAAAUCACAACAUUCAACUUGUGCAAAGUAUAGUAUACAUUCAAUGCCCGGGCUUUUGAAGGACACAAGAACUGCUGCUGCUGCUCCAAAUCAGAUCUCAAAAGGUUCCGGAGCCACAGCUCAUUUCUCGCCCACCCACCUGCUCAAUCUUGUGAUAUAUUUGUCUGUUCUAAUCUUGCGCCAAGAAGAAAGUCCAAAACUAAUUCUGAAGGAUGUCCUCUGCUCUUAUCUUCCUGCAAAAUCUGCUUCCUCUCCGCCUUCUCCCAAAAACUUGUCUAUUGUCAGAU
rnacentral:lncRNA from 1 species